AUAUUCUGGUUUUUCUUCAUUUCGUAUAAAUCUUUCGCCUUUUACUAAAGAUUUCUUUGUAUUGCAUUAGUGCCUAGAGGCCCAACCUCCAUUGUGCAAGGUGCUGUAUAGCGGAG